UACGGGGGGGGCAAGCGGUUGUUCGGAAUUACUGGGCGUAAAGGGCUCGUAGGCGGCCAACUAAGUCAGACGUGAAAUCCCUCGGCUUAACCGGGGAACUGCGUCUGAUACUGGAUGGCUUGAGUUUGGGAGAGGGAUGGCGGAAUUCCAGGUGUAGCGGAUGAAAUGCGUAGAUAUCUGGAGGAACACCGGUGGCGAAGGCGGCGAUCCUGGACCAA
rnacentral:rRNA from 1 species